AUCCUACGGGAGGCAGCAGUGGGGAAUAUUGGUCAAUGGGCGGAAGCCUGAACCAGCCAAGUCGCGUGAGGGAAUAAGGCCCUACGGGUCGUAAACCUCUUUUGCCGGGGAGCAAGGGCCGGGACGCGUCCCGGCCCGGAGAGUACCCGGAGAAAAAGCAUCGGCUAACUCCGUGCCAGCAGCCGCGGUAAUACGGAGGAUGCGAGCGUUAUCCGGAUUUAUUGGGUUUAAAGGGUGCGUAGGCGGGCUUUUAAGUCAGCGGUAACAAUUCGGUGCUCAACCCCGUCCGGCCGUUGAAACUGGGG
rnacentral:rRNA from 1 species